rnacentral:rRNA from 1 species
GACGAACGCUGGCGGCGUGGAUUAGGCAUGCAAGUCGAACGGUAUCAUCCUUUCGGGGGUGAGAGAGUGGCGAACUGGUGAGUAACACGUAGGUUAUCUACCCUCAAGACGGGGACAACCCAGGGAAACUUGGGCUAAUACCGGAUGUGAGCAACUUUUAGUUGUUUGAAAGGUGGCGUAAGCUGUCGCUUGGGGAUGAGCCUGCGUCCUAUUAGUUAGUUGGUGAGGUAACGGCUCACCUAGGCAAUGAUAGGUAGGCGGCCUUAACGGGUGGUCGCCCACACUGGGAUUGAGAUACGGCCCAGACUCCUACGGGAGGCAGCAGUCGAGAAUAGUCUACAAUGGUCGGAAGACUGAUAGUGCGACGCCGCGUGAACGAUGAAUCCCUUCGGGGUGUAAGUUCUUUUAUAUGUGAGCAGUGCUUCUUAUAUUAACAGUAUGGGGAGAGAGAUAUUAGCAUAUGAAUAAGCAACGGCUAACUCCGUGCCAGCAGCCGCGGUAAACUCGU